GGGCUAAUGUCUUGUAAUUGGAAUGAUGGUGACCCAAACCCUCACCAGAGUAGCAAUUGGAGGGCAAGUCUGGUGCCAGCAGCCGCGGUAAUUCCAGCUCCAAUAGCGUAUAUUAAACUUGUUGCAGUUAAAAAGCUCGUAGUUGAAUUUUAGCGUGUUCGAGUUUGCCAUUCGUUUGGCUUUUUCGAGUUCGCUUUUGGGUUUUCCCUUUUUACUUUGAGAAAAUUAGAGUGUUUCAAGCAGACUUUUGUCUUGAAUACUUCAGCAUGGAAUAAUAGAGUAGGACUUUGGUUCUAUUUUGUUGGUUAUUGAACCUUAGUAAUGGUUAAUAGGAACGGUUGGGGGCAUUCGUAUUUAAAA
rnacentral:rRNA from 1 species